AGGUUCCUGAUUGCUUAUUGCACCACAUGUGUUUUUCUUUGAAACAAACUUGCUUUGGCGGUGGGCCCAGCCUGCCGCCAGAGGUCUAAACUUACAACCAAUUUUUUAUCAACUUGUCACACCAGAUUAUUACUUAAUAGUCAAAACUUUCAACAACGGAUCUCUUGGUUCUCGCAUCGAUGAAGAACGCAGCGAAAUGCGAUACGUAAUAUGAAUUGCAGAUAUUCGUGAAUCAUCGAAUCUUUGAACGCACAUUGCGCCCUCUGGUAUUCCGGAGGGCAUGCCUGUUUGAGCGUCGUUUCUCCCUCAAACCGCUGGGUUUGGUGUUGAGCAAUACGACUUGGGUUUGCUUGAAAGACGGUAGUGGUAAGGCGGGAUCGCUUUGACAAUGGCUUAGGUCUAACCAAAAACAUUGCUUGCGGCGGUAACGUCCACCACGUAUAUCUUCAAACUUUGACCUCAAAUCAGGUAGGACUACCCGCUGAACUUAAGCAUAUCAAAAGGCGGAGGAA
rnacentral:rRNA from 1 species